rfam:Chaetura pelagica isolate M959 contig60326, whole genome shotgun sequence.
GUGGGCUAUGGGGACAUGCGACCUGUGACUGUGGGGGGCAAGAUUGUGGGGUCCUUGUGUGCCAUUGCGGGUGUGCUCACCAUCGCCCUGCCUGUCCCUGUCAUCGUGUCCAAC